rnacentral:lncRNA from 1 species
UCUUAGUGUCCCUGGAAGACAGGAUUCUGCACCCUAGAAUCCUGCCAUUUUAAUAGGUGUUGCUCAGCCCUUGGAUUUAGUCAUCUCAAAGACCAUGGCCUUCUAGCUGUUUUUCUUUGAGAGUGGCCGAUUUUCACGUACAGUCUUCCUUGGUUUAGGCAAA